AAUAGCGUAUAUUAAAGUUGUUGCAGUUAAAAAGCUCGUAGUUGGACCUUGGGCCUGGACAGGCGGUCCGCCUCACGGCGUGUACUGUCUUGCUGGGCCUUUCCUCUUGGUGAUCUGUGGUUUCGGCCGCAGGGAACCAGGACCUUUACUUUGAAAAAAUUAGAGUGUUCAAAGCAGGCUUUACGCCAGAAUAUAUUAGCAUGGAAUAAUAAAAUAGGACGUGCGGUUCUAUUUUGUUGGUUUUUGGGAUCGCCGUAAUGAUUAAUAGGGACAGUCGGGGGCAUUAGUACUCACAUGCUAGAGGUGAAAUUCUUGGAUUUUGUGAAGACUAACUUCUGCGAAAGCAUUUGCCAAGGAUGUUUUCAUUAAUCAAGAACGAAGGUUAGGGUAUCGAAAACGAUUAGAUACCGUUGUAGUCUUAACAGUAAACUAUGCCGACUAGGGAUCGGUCGAUGUUAUUUUCUUGACUCGAUCGGCACCCUUACGAGAAAUCAAAGUUUUUGGGUUCUGGGGGGAGUAUGGUCGCA
rnacentral:rRNA from 1 species